AGCAGUCGCCGCGGUAACACGUAGGUGGCAGGCGUUGUCCGGAAUUAUUGGGCGUAAAGGGCUCGCAGGCGGUUUCUUAAGUCUGAUGUGAAAGCCCCCGGCUCAACCGGGGAGGGUCAUUGGAAACUGGGAAACUUGAGUGCAGAAGAGGAGAGUGGAAUUCCACGUGUAGCGGUGAAAUGCGUAGAGAUGUGGAGGAACACCAGUGGCGAAGGCGACUCUCUGGUCUGUAACUGACGCUGAGGAGCGAAAGCGUGGGGAGCGAACAGGAUUAGAUACCCCAGUAGUCCCUGUCUCUUAUAC
rnacentral:rRNA from 1 species